rfam:Rattus norvegicus chromosome 5, whole genome shotgun sequence.
CCAAAGGUUUUACUUGAAUAUGACAGUUGUUCAAAACCAUCAAAUUUUAAAAUAAAGGGUAUUU